GGAGCCGUGACGGCAGGAUUAAGAUCAAGCGGCUGGUCUUCAUAUGGCCUGCUGGUGGGCAUGGAUGAAGAUGAGAUUUAAAGUUCAUCAGAUACGCAUGUAGAACCGUCUUUGGACAAUUUGCGGACGCGGGUUCGACUCCCGCCAGCUCCACCA
rnacentral:tRNA from 1 species